AUGGAAAACAACUGGAUUGUAUGGAACGUGAGGGGUUUGAACAACCUGGCUAGGAGAGCAGUAGUUAAGGAGUUUUUAUAUCGGAACAAUGUAUCCCUAGUAUGUUUGCAAGAAACAAAACUAUCCUUCAUCGAUAGAGCCAUGGUGAACCAGUGUUGUGGCACGGAGUUCUCUGAGUUUGCGUAUCUGCCGGCUAUUGGGUCUAGAGGAGGUGUGUUAAUGGCAUGGAAGGGUGACCACUACUCCAUGACCACCAUUGCAGUUCAAGGGUACAUGGUGGCGGCUGUGGGGAAAGAUGCCAAGGGGGCUCCAGUGGGUGUGAUUGGGUUGUAUGGCCCGCGGAUCUGGGAGGAGAAGCUUGGCUUCCUUCGUGAGCUCAAAAACACUAUUCAGGGCAGUACUCCCAAUGGCACGGCCCUUGCACUGAUCGGCGAUUUCAACCUCAUCACCGGAGCAGCCGACAAGAACAACCCGAGGAUCAACAGAUGCUGCAUCACUGCCUUCAGAAACUUCAUCAACGAACUUCAACUGAAGGAUCUAUAUCUCCAUGGACGUAGAUAUACAUGGAGCAAUGAGCAAGCAAACGCAACGAUGGUGAAGCUGGACAGAGUUCUCAUCAAUGGAGAGUGGAAGGAGACAAUGCCCAACUGCAUGCUUCAAGCUUUGUCCUCAGACAUCUCGGACCACUGUCCUCUCCUCCUCAACUGUGAGAUUGCAUUCCGUCAGCACAGAGCAUUCAGAUUCUAG
rnacentral:rRNA from 1 species